AACAUCGCCUCUUGACCCCAUAAGAGGUCUAGCCUGCCCAGUGACUCUGUUCAACGGCCGCGGUAUCCUAACCGUGCGAAGGUAGCGUAAUCACUUGUCUUCUAAAUAAAGACUAGUAUGAAAGGCAUCACGAGAGCUAAACUGUCUCCCCCCUCUAAUCAGUGAACCUAAUCUCUCCGUGAAGAAGCGGAGAUCUCCAUAUAAGACGAGAAGACCCUGUGGAGCUUAAAACAUUAUAACACUUGCCACCUUCCUUCCCCAUCCAGAUUUUUCUCAUGGCACGCUAACUAUAAGUUUUUGGUUGGGGUGACCGCGGAAAAAACCUUACCCUCCGCAAUGAGGGGCCUCCCCUAAACAAUAAGUUACAACUUUACACCUCAAUAAAUUGACAUUCAUUGACCCAAUAUUUGAUCAACGAACCAAGUUACCCCAGGGAUAACAGCGCAAUCCACUUUAAGAGCUCCUAUCGACAAGUGGGCUUACGACCUCGAUGUUGGAUCGGGGUAUCCUAGUGGUGCAGCAAUUACUAAAGGUUCGUUUGUUCAACGAUUAAAACCCCACGUGA
rnacentral:rRNA from 1 species